rnacentral:misc_RNA from 1 species
GAAAUGCGAUAAGUAAUGUGAAUUGCAGAAUUCAGUGAAUCAUCGAAUCUUUGAACGCACAUUGCGCCCGCCAGCACUCUGGCGGGCAUGCCUGUUCGAGCGUCAUUUCGACCAUCAAGCCCCUCCGGGUGCUUGUGUUGGGGACCUGCGGCUGUCCGCAGGCCCCGAAAACCAGUGGCGGGCUCGCUGUCACCCCGAGCGUAGUAGUUCUCGCCUCGCUCAGGGACGUGCUGCGGGUGUUCCGGCCGUUAAAGCCCCCCUAAAAGGUUGACCUCAAAUCAAGUAGGACUACCCGCUGAACUUAA